UGGGGAAUCUUGCACAAUGGGGGCAACCCUGAUGCAGCGACGCCGCGUGAGCGAUGAAGGUUUUCGAAUCGUAAAGCUCUGUCCUAUGGGAAGAUAAUGACGGUACCAUAGGAGGAAGCCCCGGCUAACUACGUGCCAGCAGCCGCGGUAAUACGUAGGGGGCGAGCGUUGUCCGGAAUUACUGGGCGUAAAGGGUUCGCAGGCGGCAUGGCAAGUCCGAUGUAAAAGGCGAAGGCUCAACCUUCGUAAGCAUCGGAAACUGUCAAGCUUGAGUGAAGGAGAGGCAAGUGGAAUUCCUAGUGUAGCGGUGGAAGGCGUAGAUAUUAGGAGGAAUACCGGUGGCGAAGGCGACUUGCUGGACUUCAACUGACGCUGAGGAACGAAAGCGUGGGUAGCAAACAGG
rnacentral:rRNA from 1 species